rnacentral:rRNA from 1 species
AUCUCUUGCCAAGCAGGGCUGGGCCUAGUUAGUACUUGGAUGGGAGACCGCUGGGAAUACCAGGCGCCAGAGUUG